UACAGAGGUCUCGAGCGUUAGGCGGAAUCACUGGGCUUAAAGCGUGUGUAGGCUGCCCCGCAAGUCGGGUGUGAAAGCCCCGGGCUCAACCUGGGAAGUGCACUCGAAACUGCGGGGCUGGAGUCCUGGAGAGGAAGGCGGAAUUCUCGGUGUAGAGGUGAAAUGCGUAGAGAUCGGGAGGAACACCAGAGGCGAAGGCGCCUAGCUGGACAGAUACUGACACUCAACAACGAAAAGCGUGGGGGAGCAAACAGG
rnacentral:rRNA from 1 species